GGGGGAGGGUCUGAGGAGGGUGAGAUGAGUGAGCACACACACGCACACACAUACCAGCAAAACCACUGAAUGAAUGAAAGGCAAAGGGGGAAAUGGAAUGAAUGAACAGUUGCGACUGAGAAAAUGAAUGAGUGUGAUGAUGACAGCUGAUUUUGCUGUUGCACACACACAGGGCAGUUGGACAUCCUUAUUCAUGUCACAGGCGACAAACUUCGCAUUCGGAGCUAGAAAAUGAAUCAAUGUGAAAAGUGUGUUGCUGGUGCACCAACUGGAUUCCUGCUAAGUAAGCAUUUCAAGUCCCCUCCCCUACCCACCCACCUAUUAAAUGCCUGGGCAAAUUCAGACAGUUGAGACUCAAAAUACGAUAUACAAAGGACAUUUUUGAGAUAAAUAAAGAAUUCCAGAGAAAAUUGCCUGAUUUGACCAUUGCACAUAAAAAAUGAUGGAUGUAUCAGACAUGAUUGCUUCUCCAGCCCAAUACAAUUGAAGUACACAGAGACAUAGCUAUCCUCUGCCUUGGAGAGAAGGAAGAGGACGAUUUUCAAGGAGUUUAGAGUAAGUAAUUCAACACCUUGAAAGAAAAUGAAAUCUACAUUGGGCAGUGUAAAUACACAGGGCAGAAACCUGCUCCUUGUCCAUUAAAGUUUUAAGUAUUUUACACCUCUGGCCACACCCCAAUCUAUAAUAUCAUAACAAUGGUCUGUUCAGAUAGGUGUUGACAGCAAUGGCAUGGGAAAAUACCUUGCUAUACAAGGACACAGAAGCGUUUGAGGCAGGCCUCGAUAGACAACUGAUAAAAAAAAACUGCCACCUUCGGUGACCGGUCCACCCCAGAAUCUGACCAUAUGACAGCAACCAUCAUGGUCGAAGGAUCCAAAAUCCUGGAGGACAAGGAUAUCCCAAGGUUCUGUGCUUUGCUGACGGGAAUCUGAGCUAUUGGAACUUAAAUGUACAUUGAUAGUGACAGUCUGCUGCUUUGUGUUAGUUUUUUGUAAAAUGUAUCUAAAAGGUCUUUCCUAUAAUGUGUAAAAAAGACUACAGGACGGUGAGAAGAUUGGUGGCCAUGUAUGGGACAAUUUAAAUUUGUGUUAUUGUUUUCCAAGUUGUUUUUUAAAUAUGUCUGUAAUCAAAAAAUUAGACACAUACUAUCACAGACAGAUGCAGAAAAACUAAUCCAUGCAUUUGUUACUUCAAGGCUGGAUUACUGCAACUCUUUAUUAUCAGGUUGCCCCAAUAAGUCCAUUAAAACGCUCCAAUUAAUUCAGAACGCUGCAGCACGAGUACUGACAGGAACUCGAAAAAGAGAUCACAUCUCUCCUGUACUAGCUACUCUGCAUUGGCUCCCUAUAAAAUGUAGAAUUGAAUUUAAAAUCCUCCUCCUCACCUAUAAAGCUCUUCAUGGUCAGGCCCCUUCAUAUCUUAAAGAGCUCAUAGUACCCUAUUACCCCACUAGAACACUACGUUCUCUGAAUGCUGGGCUACUUGUGGUUCCUAUAGUCUCUAAAAGUAGAACAGGAGCCAGAGCCUUCAGUUACCAAGCUCCUCUCCUGUGGAACCAGCUUCCUGUUGUGGUUCGGGAGGCAGACACCCUCACCACAUUCAAGAGUAGGCUUAAGACAUUCCUCUUUGAUAAAGCUUAUAGUUAGGGCUGGAUCAGGUGAGUCCUGAACCAUCCCUUAGUUAUGCUGCUAUAGGCCUAGACUAUCGGGGGAUUUCCCAUGGUGCACUGAGCUACUCUCUUCCUCUCUCUUUCUGCACUCAUUCAUGUCCCUUUAAUGCAUGUUACUAACUUCACUUCUUCCCCGGAGUUCUUGUGCUUUCUCGUCUCGCAGGUUCUCAUGGAUCCUGGUGGAGCCUCCUGCCAUGGUCCUGCUUGACUGCCAUUGCCAAUACUGUUGUUGCUGUGCACCUGUCUGUCUGUCUGUCUGUCUCUCUCUCUCUCUCUCUCUCACCCCAACUGGUCGAGACAGACGACCACCCACCUAGAGCCGGAGGAUCUGUCCUAGGUUUCUGCCUUUUAACAGGCAGUUUUUCCUUGCCCUUGUCGCCAAGUGCUUGCUCAUGGUGGUACUGUUGGGUCUCUGUAAUUAAUGUUAAAGAGUUCGGUCUAGACCUGCUCUAUUUGAAAAGUGUCCUGAGAUAACUUCUGUUAUGAAUUGGCGCUAUACAAAUAAAAUUGAAUUGAAUUGAA